UACGGAGGGUGCAAGCGUUAAUCGGAAUUACUGGGCGUAAAGCGCACGCAGGCGGUCUGUCAAGUCGGAUGUGAAAUCCCCGGGCUCAACCUGGGAACUGCAUUCGAAACUGGCAGGCUAGAGUCUUGUAGAGGGGGGUAGAAUUCCAGGUGUAGCGGUGAAAUGCGUAGAGAUCUGGAGGAGUACCGGUGGCGAAGGCGGCCCCCUGGACAAAGACUGACGCUCAGGUGCGAAAGCGUGGGGAGCAAACAGG
rnacentral:rRNA from 1 species